rnacentral:lncRNA from 1 species
AAAAAAAAAAAAAAAAAAAAUCGGAGUGAACAUCUAGGAUUUUCAGUGUUUUGAUUAGUGUUUUGACUAAGAGAGAUAAAGGUGAUAAAGCGAGACUAGGGAGAGAUGUUUCUGAGAGAAAGUUUUGAGUGGUUUACAUUGGAAUGGCCCAUUCAGAAUUCAAAGCCAAAUUAAACUGUAGAUGGAUUGAACCAUUCCCAUUCCAAAGUGGAAUAGAAAUCGGAAGUCAAAUCUUGUAAAACAAACAAUAACUAUCGGAAUCAAUAAAUUUUAUUCCGACUACAUAGUCUAAAAUAGGUGAACCAAACAAGUAAGAGUAAGGUGAGGUGGUUGAGUAAAUUGAUUUGAUUGGUUAUAAUUUAUUAAAAUUAUUAAAUUAAACACACCCUAUUUUUAGAAUAAAAGUUUUGGAGGUGGUUGAGUAAAUUGAUUUGAUUGGUUAUAAUUUAUUAAAAUUAUUAAAUUAAACACACCCUUUUUUUUUUUCCUUUUAUAAAUUGACUCACUUUUAAAUGACUAUUUAAUCGGGUUUUUUACCCAACUAGUCUCCUCCAAAACUUUUAUUCUAAA